CUUUUGAGUUGGUUGUCUCUCUCUGAGAGUUUAAGUUGGCCAGGAGAAACUGAGAGACCUUGAUGGUGUUUUAAAAGAAGUCUCUCAGUAUAAGUCCUAUUAUGAAUUUUGAAACAAGAUUCUUUGAAAGUCCGAUAAUAUCUGUGGAUUGUUAGCCUGGUUCCUCUUCAAAUAAUCUCUGGGACUCCAUUUGGGAAACUACAAAGAAAUUAGACAGGAGGCUCAAGGAAAUCUGAUUUCUACAAAAAGUAUU
rnacentral:lncRNA from 1 species